GGUGAACGCCGAAAAGAUUUAUGCAGAACUCGAGAAGUUCAAAGAGGAGUAUGCAUCAAAGAAGGGUCUUCCUUACAAAAAAAGAGAUAUGACUGAUGAGAUGUUCUACAACGAGAAGUGGAAAAUAUAUAAGUAUAUUCGGGAGAUGAUUUCUUCCAAUCCAAGCAUUUUGCAUGUGGAAACCGCUCUGUC